UUCUCACCUCUUGAAAUCCCUUAGAAAGGUGGCAUUGGGUUUUCUCCCUGGGUUCUGAGAAAAGUCAGAGGACUUCUCAGUAUUAAUUUUUUAUACAUUAAUAGAAGAUAUAUUUAAACUACUCCCUCCCCAUCUUAUUUUUAAACCUGCCUUCCAUUAAUUCAAGCAUAUUUAAGCACAAUGCGAGCUACCACAAAAUAAAUUCUACCUCUGAAGAACACUCCUUAGGUUUUUGUUAUUUCAUGAUAUCUAACUUAAUCUGUAAAACCACAUAAGCUUGUUUUACUGUAGAAGUCCUCUCAAGAUAACUCAAGACUUCCAACUAAGUAUAGUCUACAUUUUCAUGCAGUCAGUAUCCUACACUAAUGUGAUUUCUGCCACAGCAGAAUAAAGUAGUAUUCACUCAAUUCAAGGAGCCUCUUCCUUUGCCUUAUUCAACCUCCACUGAAAGACUAGGGCUCUUGACUAAAUGUAUAUUUUCUCAAGUGUCAAACCUAACAUCUAGCUGCACAUUCGCCAUGUGAACCACAAAGAUAAGGAAAUAAUAGCAUCACCUGGUACCAAGAAACUGCUUAUUGAAGGCCCAGCACAGUAAGGGGCUAAGGAAUCAAAUAUUUAUGCCAGCUGCUCCUUACAGUACUACGAAUAAGGACCAAUAUGCUACUUUCAUUUCCACAAGAGCUUUAGCAGAACUAACGACUGUCUGACCUCUACCUUCUUAUUUUAUUCUUGAGGUUUCCACUACUAAAGUAUAGGAAGGUCCUGGUCUCAAAAAUAGCCACACAGGGCAAAAGGGAAAAACAAAUAAAAGCCUGGUUCAGAAACGCCCCAUCCUCUGUUAAGUUCAAGUCUUUACAUUUCAAAAGACAGCCUUAGAAAUUAAGCUCACCACAGUGCUGAUCUUCUUCUUCCCAUCGGUAGCUCUUAACAGACACUUGUUGUCUGCGGGCUCAAAGCCCUCCACAGUACCCUUCUUUGGAAUGGGUUUGGUUCGACCGUCAUCUGAAGGAAAAAAUG